rnacentral:misc_RNA from 1 species
AAAAAUUGCGCCGUUUGAAAAAGAAGUUCCGGAAUGCCGCAGCUAGAAUCGCCGCCGGCAAGGAGUCGGUGUUCAAGAGCCCGCAUGAUCAGGCUACGUUUGAGAUCUCGCGUAAAAUCUGGAGCGCCGGGCUGAAGAAUGGCCGAGAUAGUGAUGAUGAUGAUCUUCACACUCCUCACACUGUCUCCGCUGCGGUGGAUCCUGUUGACACCGGUGGUUCGAGG